rnacentral:rRNA from 1 species
CCUACGGGUGGCAGCAGUAGGGAAUAUUGCUCAAUGGGGGAAACCCUGAAGCAGCAACGCCGCGUGGAGGAUGAAGGUCUUCGGCUCGUAAACUCCUGUCGUCAGAGAAGAUAAUGACGGUAUCUAACGAAUAAGCACCGGCUAACUCCGUGCCAGCAGCCGCGGUAAUACGGAGGGUGCAAGCGUUACCCGGAUUUACUGGGCGUAAAGAGCGCGUAGGCGGGAUAGCAAGGCAGAUGUUAAAUCCUAUGGCGUAACCAUAGAACUGCAUUUGAAACUGUUAUUCUAGAGUAUGGGAGAGGUAGGUGGGAUUCUUGGGGUGGGGGUAAGAACCGGAGAGAUCAAGAGGGAUACUCAUUGCGA